rnacentral:rRNA from 1 species
CCUACGGGUGGCUGCAGUGGGGAAUAUUGGACAAUGGGCGCAAGCCUGAUCCAGCAACGCCGCGUGGAGGACGAAGGUCUUCGGAUCGUAAACUCCUGUCAGACGGGACGAAGGUGCCGGGGUAAACAAUCCCGGUACUUGACGGUACUGUCAGAGGAAGCCCCGGCUAACUCCGUGCCAGCAGCCGCGGUAAUACGGAGGGGGCGAGCGUUAUUCGGAAUUAUUGGGCGUAAAGGGCGCGUAGGCGGCCUGGCAAGUCAAAGGUGAAAUCCCUC